rnacentral:rRNA from 1 species
ACACUCCUGCGGGAGGCAGCAGUAGGGAAUCUUCCACAAUGGGUGCAAACCUGAUGGAGCAAUGCCGCGUGAGUGAAGAAGGUCUUCGGAUCGUAAAGCUCUGUUGUUAGAGAAGAACACGUGCUAGGUAACUACUAGCGCCUUGACGGUAUCUAACCAGAAAGUCACGGCUAACUACGUGCCAGCAGCCGCGGUAAUACGUAGGUGACAAGCGUUGUACGGAUUUAUUGGGCGUAAAGGGAGCGCAGGCGGUCUGUUUAGUCUAAUGUGAAAGCCCACGGCUUAACCGUGGAACGGCAUUGGAAACUGACAGACUUGAAUGUAGAAGAGGAAAAUGGAAUUCCAAGUGUAGCGGUGGAAUGCGUAGAUAUUUGGAGGAACACCAGUGGCGAAGGCGAUUUUCUGGUCUAACAUUGACGCUGAGGCUCGAAAGCGUGGGGAGCGAACAGGAUUAGAAACCCGAGUAGUCCCAUG